ACCCAAACCAAAAUUUAGAAAUAUUCGAAUGAGACUGAAAUCUUUGUCCCGAAACCAGAACAUACCCGAACUGAUUCUGAACGGGUACCCAAACGCCCACCCGUAUUCGAGGGUGUUAUCUCCAAUAGUAAAACCUUAAAUCUAUUUUUAAUAUAUAUUUGUAUUUUAGUCUUUGAUAUUAACAAAAAAAUUGAUUAAAUCUAUAAAAAAAUUCUAAAGAAUAAAGAAUAUAUUAAAGUAAUAUUUUUAUAGUAUUGAUUAACAAAAUGCUAUAUUAUAAUAAAUGAUAACUGAAUAACUCCAAUUAAAUCAUUACUUACAAAUAAAAUACCAAACUACUGAAUACAUUAUUUUGUAAUACUCUUAUAUAUGAUUAUUUAAUCAAUUUUAAAAUGGCUUAUAAAUUUAUUUAUUACUUAUAUAUAAGUUGCAAACUAAAAUGAUAAAUAUUAAAAUUAAUAAGACUAUUUAGAACACAUAUAACUGUAAGAAUUCUAAAAAUAUUAAAUCUUAAAUUAAUUUUUUUUAUUAUUCAAAGUUUUAAAAUUUAGAGUUACUAAAUUAUUUUCGGAGUAUAUAAUUGAAAGCUCGUAAGUUAUUUUAAAAAUGGUUUAAGGAGAAGAUAAAAAAUAAUGACGACAGUAAUAAAGUAACAGCUGACACAAAGAAAAGAAAAGGUUUUUAAAUAUUCGUUUCCACCUUCCUCCGCCAUGGAUGCAGAAGAGAAGAUGGAGCUGAAGGUCUACAACAAGAUGACUCUAGCAGAAGGAAGGAAGUUUUUGAUCCGUUCACUCCCGGAAAGGUCGGAUUGUACGUCUGUGGAUAUGAUUUCAGUCACAUCGGCCAUGCUCGCGCCGCCGUCUCCUUGGACGUUCUCUACAGGUCUCUCGUAACUUAGAUUCGUAGAUAAGAAAGCUAGACAGUUCCUCAGAGACACUUCUUGAUGAGUGCACACUACCGGUCUCCUCUGAGUUUUCUCAGCUAGACAGUUCGUCAGAAGCUUUCUAUUAUGUUUAUCAGAUCUUGAUGAUGCCCUCUUUCCAUAUCGAGAAGCAAUGGCUGAAGAAGACGGUGGAAAAGCUCAACAGACUGCAGAAGCCAAAGACAUCAUUAACAAGCUCAAAAAGUGAGUUUGAAGCUAAGAUGUUAGACGAUUUAUAUACUCACGGGUGCUUACCAAGAUGCAUUGAAAUUCAUCAAUACUUAAAUUAGUAAGCUUAAUGUUUUCUGAUUUACUCCUGCUCCUCUUCUUUUCUUGUGCCACUUCACCAUUCAUACCAAACUUGUCUGUUCUUCUUCAAAAAUUCAGAAAAUGCUGAAGAAACAGCGAGCGUUGAAAUUGAGAAAGCAGCUUGAUGUGCUUGGUUUGCUCACAACCCUGAGCUAUGCCGAAAACACUAACAAGAGCAGGGUUGAGCGGAGAAGACAUUGCACAUAAGAUAUAGAAGAAAGGAUAAUGGCGCGGAAGAAGAAAGAGUUUGAGAAAAGUGAUCAGAUCAGAGCAGUUCAAGGAAUAGCAGUAAUGGAUAUUGGGAAAGAGACUGUGUGGAGGCCAAUGCUUCCCUUCUCCGGCUGACUCCAGCGAUGGAGAUAAGUCAAUUUCCUAAAAGUCAACCCUUUAUUCUUUAAGGCUGUUCCUUUAUAACUCUUGUUUUGUUUUGUUUUGUUUUGUUUUGUUUUGCGUGACUCCUAAUAGACGCUUGUUGCUGUUUUUUUCUUUGUCUGUAUCUUAAAGAUUCAGUGACAAUUAUAUCAGUGCAACAGUAUUUUACAAA